rnacentral:rRNA from 1 species
GUGAACAAUUAAGGGCGCGCGGUGGAUGCCUAGGCUCUCGGAGGCGAAGAAGGACGCGAUAAGCCGCGAUAGUCCACGGCGAGGUGCAAGUAACCCUUGACCCGUGGGUUUCCGAAUGGGGCAACCCGGCCGUCUAGAUGACGGUCAUGCAUUAUCAUGCAGGCGAACGCGGGGAACUGAAACAUCUCAUUACCCGCAGGAGAAGAAAACAAAAUGUGAUUCCCCCAGUAGUGGCGAGCGAACGGGGAAGAGCCCAAACCGUUGCCGUUUCGGCGACAGCGGGGUCAUGGGACCGCGACAUUCGACGGAAGACGAAGUGCAAUUACCUGGAAAGGUAAGCCGUGGAGGGUGACAGCCCCGUGCACGACACCUCUUUCGAAGAUAGCGGGAUCCCGAGUAGGGCGGGACACGAGAAAUCCUGCCUGAAUUCGCCAGGACCUCCUGGCAAGGCUAAAUACUCCCGAGAGACCGAUAGUGAACCAGUACCGCGAGGGAAAGGUGAAAAGUACCCCGAGCAGGGGGGUGAAAUAGACCCUGAACCCGCGCGCCUACAAGCGGUCGGAGCCGGGUAAUCCGGUGACGGCGUGCCUUUUGCAUAAUGAGCCUACGAGUUAGUCGUCACCAGCGAGGUUAAGGGCUUCAGGCCCGUAAGCCGAAGUGAAAGCGAGCCUUAACAGGGCGUUAAGUUGGUGGCGCUAGACGCGAAACCUUGUGAUCUACCCACGAGCAGGUUGAAGUCGCGGUAACACGUGAUGGAGGACCGAACCGGUAAACGUUGAAAAGUUUUCGGAUGACUCGCGGGUAGGGGUGAAAGGCCAAUCAAACUGGGAAAUAGCUCGUACUCUCCGAAAUGCAUUUCGGUGCAGCCUGUGAUGUUCUGUUCCAGAGGUAGAGCUACUGGUUGGACGCGAGGGCUUCACCGCCUAUCAAAUCCGGAUAAACUCCGAAUGCUGGAACACGAAAUCAUGGAGUGAGCCCGCGGGUGCUAAGGUCCGCGGACGAGAGGGAAAGAACCCGGACCACCGGCUAAGGUCCCGGAUGGACAGUUAAGUUGAUCAAACGAGGUGGGAUCGCUGAGACAGCUAGGAUGUUGGCUUGGAAGCAGCCAUUCAUUUAAAGAGUGCGUAACAGCUCACUAGUCGAGCGAUCCCGCGUGGAUAAUACACGGGCAUCAAACUGUCAACCGAAGCCGUGGGGUUAGCUUGAUGGCUAACCGGUAGGAGAGCAUUCCUGCCAGCGUUGAAGGUCACCCGCGAGAGUGACUGGAGCGGCAUGAAAAGCAAAUGUAGGCAUAAGUAACGAUAAUGGGGGCGAGAACCCCCCACGCCGCAAGACCAAGGCUUCCCCGGCAAUGUCAAUCAGCCGGGGGUCAGCCGGCCUCUAAGGCUAACCCGAACGGGGAUGCCGACGAGAAACGGGUUAACAUUCCCGUGCUUCUCGUCACCGUGACGCGGUGACGGGGUGAUGAAUGGACCGCGCGCUGACGGAAUAGCGCGUUGAAGGCCGUACCCUUCGAGGGUGGUAGUCAAGCACGCCACCCGAGGCGAUAGCCGAUAGUACCACGAGACUCCGGUCGAGUGGAUAGCGUCCAGGCAAUUUACCCCCUAGAAAACCCGCUAAACUUCAAGUGACGAGGAACCGUACUGUAAACGGACACACGUGGUCGGGUAGAACAUACCAAGGCGCUCGAGUGAUUCAUGGUCAAGGAACUAGGCAAAAUAGUCCUGUAACUUAGGGAUAAAGGACGCUCUAGUGAUAGAGCCGCAGAGUAAUGGCCCAGGCGACUGUUUACCAAAAACACAUGGCUAUGCCAAAUCGAAAGAUGACGUAUAUGGCCUGACACCUGCCCGGUGCCGGAAGGUUAAGAGGAGAGCUCAUCGGAAACGAGAAGGUUUGAAUUGAAGCCCCGGUAAACGGCGGCCGUAACUAUAACGGUCCUAAGGUAGCGAAAUUCCUUGUCGGGUAAGUUC